CUGCAACCUCGGACUUCUGAACACACAAAUUUCAACCCAAUUCAUCUAAAAUAGCAACCGCAACCUUCGCGAACGCCAACCGCCACUCGCUAAAUCACAGUCACCGACUUCUUAAACCCAAGUCGCCGACUUCAACAUUCUAUACACCAGCUGACUGCUACUAAACUGGCGACAGAAAUAGUUAAUUCUCUCUUUCGCCGACCACCUCCCGAAAUCCCAAAAUCCCGACUCCAACAGCCCGACUGCAUAGUUGAUUCCAGCACCGCCAAUAGUCGACCCAGAUUUGCCGUGUAAUUGGGCAUAUAUUUUCAAUUGGGUUGUGUUUUAUUAGUUAUUAUUCUGGGCUUUGCUUGGUAGAGUAUUUGAUUUUUUAUUUUGGGCCUUAUGUUAACGUAUGGCUAGUGUAUGUUUUGGGCUUAAAUUUUUCCCUAUUUUGUUUAUGUAACAGUUAAUAAUUGUUU
rnacentral:lncRNA from 1 species